GUCUUCAUUGAACCAGAAAGUACCAAGUCACCAGGAGGAAUUUUGGGACAGUGGAAUAAUUGCUCAUGACACAUGGGUUAACCCGCCUUUUCUAACAGAUCUGUAACAACGGGUGGUCAGGACAACACUGUUUCAAACCUCAUCUGACGGAUGUACCUCCGGCAGCUCAAUGCCCCCUACCAACAGGCUCAUCAACCACACUGCCAAGAGAGGAGCUUUGGCUCCUGAAAUUCAUUAUGAUGGGAGACUACAUUAGACUAUUGUGGGUGACACAGCCGUGAGAUCUGAGAAGCGAAAUUGCCCUGGGCAGGACCAUUUCAGCCUUCUUCUCCAGCUCUCUUUCACUUUCUGCAACAAGCUAUCCCCUGAAAGAGCAUUAUAGCUAGCAGUAUUAAAUAUUUACCUUGCAUCUGUCCAAUUGUUAGAUCUUUAUCCAGCCUGUCAACACCUGGAAUAAAGCAAACAGAUGUGUUAGGGAGAAGCCAGGGAGAGAGUGUCUAGUCGGGUCCUGCUAAGACUUUGCAAAAGAUGUUUGGUGUGAAAAAUGGAACAGAAACAGCAUCUCGACACUUACUAGGCUGUUUCCCUGCUGCAAAUCAGGAGCAUACAGUGACAGAAGAGGAUCACUGCCAAGAACUUGAAGGAACAUUCAUCCAUCCAUCCUCCCAGACAUCUUUAAAUGGCACUCAACUAUGGGAGACUCAGUGUUCCCGAUCACAGGGGACUGGAGGGCGAUAGGGAUUGGUCUUGGACUACUGAUCCUUUCACCUUCAGGUCACGAGUUCAAAUCCAGCCCAGGUCUGCAGUAACUAAGUGAUUAGUCCUGUGGGUUGGCUUGGGUCUCAGUCCUGUUCCUAGCAGAACAUUGGCUCAAUCCUACAAUUGCAACACCUGUCAGACAGCUGAGACAAUGUCACAAUACACACAUCUAAUCCCACAAUUCCCAUGUGCAUGUUGCAGAGGAGGAAGUAGAGGCAGAGACACUAAAUGACUUGCCCCGUCUCUCAAAGUACAUAGAAGGGCCAGGAUAGAAGCCAGACCUAUUAUGCCCAGACCACUAUCUUACCUUCCCACCUCUAAAAUACAGGCUGAAUGUUAUCAAAGUGAAUGACCGCUCUAAUUAGGGAGAAAAAGGAAACACCUACCCGCUAAAAGCAGCAGCUUUGGAGUAGAACAACUGAGGAAGAGGUUAGAUAAGCCCCUGAACCACCCAUCCCAGUACUUUUCUGUUUUCGACAGUUCGAUUCGCCAUGUAUACAGAUGUUCUUUCUUUGUCUACAAGGGGAUAAAGAGCUCAGUGUUAGUAUUCAACUGAAACAACGAGUGUAGAAUUAAAUCAGCAAAGCGCGACUCGGAAGAUAAAGUAAAAGCACAGAGUCAAAUGCUGACGUGACUCUAAUGUCAGUUUGUCCCCCAUACAUGGCCCUAACUAGGCAACCUUGCUCGGCAGACUGGAUUAUCUGCUUAAUCCUAACCGUGCUCACUCCACGUCACAGUAAAUUAAUGGGUCUGCACAUGCUGUACCUGGUGUGUUGAGCAAGAGACACCUUCAAUUUCCAGGACUGUCAAUCUGCCGUCUUUCACUGGAACUAAACAUUCACACACAAAAACACCUGGACCUGUCCGUCAGCGAAGCCUGGGCAAGAUACAGUUUUGCAGCACCGUGCA